rnacentral:tRNA from 1 species
GAUAAAAUGGCUGAAAUUUAAGGCGAUAAAUUGUAAAUUUAUUAAUGAAAAUUAUUUUCUUUUAUUA